GAGCAUUGAGAGGACCUUUCCCUGGUACGAGAGGACCAGAAAGGACGCACCUCUGGUGUACCAAUUAUCGUGCCCGCGCUGGGUAGCCAAGUGUGGAGCGGAUAACUGUUGAAAGCAUCUAAGUAGUAAGCUCACCCCAAGAUGAGUGCUC
rnacentral:ncRNA from 1 species